GACGAACGCUGGCGGCGUGCUUAACACAUGCAAGUCGAACGGUAAGGCCCUUCGGGGUACACGAGUGGCGAACGGGUGAGUAACACGUGGGUGAUCUGCCCUGCACUUCGGGAUAAGCCUGGGAAACUGGGUCUAAUACCGGAUAGGACCACUGCCUGCAUGGGUGGUGGUGGAAAGCUUUUGCGGUGUGGGAUGGGCCCGCGGCCUAUCAGCUUGUUGGUGGGGUGAUGGCCGACCAAGGCGACGACGGGUAGCCGGCCUGAGAGGGUGACCGGCGACACUGGGACUGGGAUACGGCACAGACUCCUACGGGAGGCAGCAGUGGGGAAUAUUGCACAAUGGGCGCAAGCCUGAUGCAGCGACGCCGCGUGAGGGAUGACGGCCUUCGGGUUGUAAACCUCUUUCAGCACCGACGAAGCGCAAGUGACGGUAGGUGCAGAAGAAGGACCGGCCAACUACGUGCCAGCAGCCGCCGCAG
rnacentral:rRNA from 1 species